rnacentral:lncRNA from 1 species
UUUGGAUUCAUAGUUGAGUCCUAUUUCCCCCACUUACAAUCUGUGUGUCUUGAGGUGUCUUCAUCAUACCCUGGUCUCCAGUGAUGCAGAGAAGACGAUCUGGCUCAUAGACUCCAGGGAAUUUUAUAUAUGCCACAAAUCCGUGAGGCCCUGUGAAUAGGCUGGCCAUUGAUUCA